UUCGAUCCUGGCUCAGAUUGAACGCUGGCGGGAUGCUUUUACACAUGCAAGUCAGACGGCAGCACGGACUUCGGUCUGGUGGCGAGUGGCGAACGGGUGAGUAAUGUAUCGGAACGUGCCUAGUAGCGGGGGAUAACUACGCGGCGUAGCUAAUACAUCGCCCUUCGGGGAAAGCGGGGGACCUUCGGGCCUCGCACUAUUAAACGGCCGAUAUCGGAUUAGCUAGUUGGUGGGUAACGGCUCACCAGGCGACGAUCCGUGGCUGGUUUGAGAGGACGACCAGCCACACUGGGACACGGCCCAGACUCCUACGGGAGGCAGCAGUGGGAAUUUUGGACAAUGGAAACCCACAAGUCCAGCCAUCCCGCGUGUUUCGAUGAAGGCCUUCGGGUUGUAAAGCACUUUUGGCAGGAAAACGGCACGGGAUAAUACCCCGUGCAACUGACGGUACCUGCAGAAUAAGCACCGGCUAACUACGUGCCAGCAGCCGCGGUAAUACGUAAGUGCAAGCGUUAAUCGGAAUUACUGGGCGUAAAGCGUGCGCAGGCGGUUCGGAAAGAAGAUGUGAAAUCCCAGAGCUUAACUUUGGAACUGCAUUUUUUUAACUACCGAGCUAGAGAGUGUCAGGGAGGUGGAAUUCCGCGUGUGGCAGUGAAAUGCGUAGAUAUGCGGAGGAACGCCGAUGGCGAAGGCAGCCUCCUGGGAUAACACUGACGCUCUACAUGCACGAAAGCGUGGGGAGCAAACAGGAUUAGAUACCCUGGUAGUCCACGCCCUAAACGAUGUCAACUAGCUGUUGGGGCCUUCGGGCCUUGGUAGCGCAGCUAACGCGUAAGUUGACCGCCUGGGGAGUACGGUCGCAAGAUUAAAACUCAAAGGGGUGACGAGGGACCCGCACAAGCGGUGGAUGAUGUGGAUUAAUUCGAUGCAACGCGAAAAACCUUACCUACCCUUGACAUGUCUGGAAUCCCGAAGAGAUUUGGGAGUGCUCGCAAGAGAACCGGAACACAGGUGCUGCAUGGCUGUCGUCAGCUCGUGUCGUGAGAUGUUUGGGUUAAGUCCCGCAACGAGCGCAACCCUUGUCAUUGGAUUGCUACGAAAGGGCACUCUAAUGAGACUGCCGGUGAUAAACCGGAGGAAGGUGGGGAUGACGUCAAGUCCUCAUGGCCCUUAUGGGUAGGGCUUCACACGUCAUACAAUGGUCGGGACAGAGGGUCGCCAACCCGCGAGGAGUCAAUCCAGAAACCCGAUCGUGGAGUCCGGAUCGCAGUCUGCAACUCGACUGCGUGAAGUCGAAUCGCUAGUAAUCGCGGAUCAGCAUGUCGCGGUGAAUAUUACGUUCCCGGGUCUUGUACACACCCGUCACACCAUGGGAGUGGGUUUACCAAGUAGUUAGCCAACCGCAGGAGGGCGAUUACCACGGUAGGAUUCAUGACUGGGGUAGGUCGUAACAAGGUAG
rnacentral:rRNA from 1 species